GCCAGUUCAUAAUCUGAGCCCUGAGGACCGUGAUGCUGGUAGUUUUCUGUAUGCAAUCAGCUGCACAUAGUCAACCUGGAGACCUUUCUUCUGCUGUUGGCAAAAUUGAUAAUAUUGUCCUGGCGAGUACUCAGAUAAAGGUCAUCUAAAGGCUACGGUUUCAUUAAGCAUUGAGUCCAGCUCUGAACCUUGCCUCUCAGGCUAUUGCUUCCUGGUGCUUCCAGCUCUCCAAUUUCUUUACCACUCAGACCAUAAAACCUGUAGGACCUCCAAAUUUUGACAGCAUUGAAAUGUGGAGGACACCCCUUGAAGCUUUCUGCUACAGGAAGACACCAUGGACUGUGUGUUGUGAAGCCUGCCUUCGGCCUCAGCCUGGUACAGCUUGAGGUCAAAAUUCUUAUAGACUCAGCAUCUUGAUGGGAGG